GCUUGUGGGCGGCGCGAAGUCCCUCGGCGUAGCUGAGCGGCAGCGGCGUCCCUCUGCGUGGCGGGCGCUGCGAAAGCUUUGCGUGCUUCCCCUAAGGCGAGAAACAGCCCAAACAGUGAUCGUUUCACAAAUCCGCCGCUGUCCUGACGGAGUUCAGCAGCUCCUGCAGCCACAUACAGCACUGAAAUCUGUCACGCCGCAGCAGAAGCGCGCUGCUCUGGAGCGCGGCACUGGCGCUGCGCAGCGGGUGGGUUUGGUCCCCGUUUGCCCUGCUGUGCCAUCUGGCGCCUUGUGAGCUGAGUGCUAUAAACAUGGCGAGCCAAAGGAAGACUGCAGAAAACAACUGAAGGAAGCUAUGAAGACUGUUGCGAAAGCAAAGAAGCCAGCUGGACUGAUUAUGAGAUGAAGGCUCAGAGAGAUACCUAACAGUAUCAUACUGAAGAUCAUGAAGUCAGGAGCAGAACUGAGGUGAAACUCUAGAUCUCUUAACUCCAUCCCAGCAGAAAACAAAAAGGUGAGGCCUCCUCUUCCUUUGAUGGAUAGAGCACAUGUGAGGAAGACACAUCUGAGUGUGUGCCAUAUUCCUGGAUGGCAUCUCUCAAGUCUCUUAUGAAAUUUCUUCUCGACUGCCUUCCUUGAGCUGGAAAAAUGAAAAAUGGAUCUUCUAAACACAGUGCCUCUACUUCUUCAAUAAUACACUGAAUCAUGUGAACUGGGAGGUCUCUGAGAAGCUGGGUGCUCCUUUCCAUGUAACUGGAGUGAGAAUGUCCUGCACAAGUGGUGAAAAGAUAGGAAAUUGAAAAGUUCUAGUUUGUGUUUGCCUGGCGCUUUGCCCUGGAUGAGGACUGAGUCCAUGGUGUGUUUUGUGGCUAGACUGCUUUUUGAAGUUCAGGCAGAACUUCAAGAGAGUGGAUAACAUAUUAGUAUGAAUUUUACCAGUCUCUUUUCAUGCACUUGUUUAAAAAAAAAAAAAAAAAAAAAAACCAACCCACAGUAGAAGUUGACUGAUAUAAAUUCAAAUGCAGCUUCAUGAUAAAACUGACCAAAAGAUGUCUUAAUGAGUGCAUAUAGCAUCUUCUGUUUUCUUAGCAUUUUGGGUAUUUCAUUCACGACUGGCUUUAUUUCUUCUUAUCCCUCUUGCCAACAGUCUGAAUUGGAUGUUUGAACAUAUUAACUGUGUAGUAAGACUAAAGUAUCAACUGGUUCCUCAUUUUUAUGCAAACACACCAAUCUGUGAACACAGUCAAGAUCGGCAUUGGAGUAAUUGUACUGAUGGCAGUAGACGUGCAGCUGUGAUUAACUUAGUUUAUUAUUACUGAAGAAAUUAAUUCCAUAAAAGGCAUUUAAGUUCUCAGUCUUGCUGUUAGCUGGAAAGAGUCUUGACUUUCAAAGACAACAGGAACAGAGAGCCCAGUAGUCACUGUAUUUGCUGUACUCUGCAGAUCUCAGCUUUUGACCUUUAUGGUAAUGAGAUGACCAUUCCACAUCAUUGUAACCAUAUGUAGUGCACUAUUCAAAAUACUGGCUACAUGUUAGACCUGUGGUGCCAGAGAAUGUGCAUGUGACAAAGAGGAAGGUGAUUAUGCAAAGCAGGAGUUACCUUCUCAGAACAAAGAAGUAGUGGGCAUUUUCUGUUUAUGGCACUUGGGAGGGCUGUCAGGCUUCUCUGAGCAAUUUGGAUCAGACAGCAAUGUGUUUGCAGCCACAGCUAAACACAGAACUCCUCUCCACUGCUGAAUAUGCAGUCUGUAAUUGAGUAAUUGCAUGCAGGAAUCCACAGUGAGGGUUUUAUUAGUUUGCCUGGUGAUCAAGUUUAAGGGUAUAACUUUGAAAAACUUCCUGAAAUGCACAGAACAAGUAUUGGAAUAAAGGCUACAUUGCAAUAUCCUGA